AUGUAAGACCGCAAGAGGGCAAGGCCUGGGUUUCCAUCCCAUUUUCAUUGGAUAAUUUCCACCAGUUCUAUAAUGAAGCUAUUCAAAAGAGGCUAAACAGGCAAAGUACUUAAACGACGAUAUUCCAAAUGGCAGUCACUUCAGAGGGAGGCACUGGUACAUGCCAUGUGCUUUUAGACACAUCUUCGUUCUUCAGUACUUCCCAGGCCUGUUGAAUCUCACUCUCUGAGCAGUUGGCUUCUGGUAGCUGCCAUCUCUUCUGUGCAGCCUGACCGGCACAUGGUGGGCACUGCUCUCAGAGCAUGGUGAGGGUCCUGCUGAGCUGGAGGACACCUUCCUCAAGGCAUUGUGCUCUAACACCAUGGACCGUGUCUCCUGGCCCACCGCAGCCCCCCGAUACAGUCCCAUGCUACAGGAAGUGCAUUCAAGCUUCACAUUUAAACUGGAUUAACCAGUUUUCUGAAGUGAUCGGUGUCAUCCUUUGGACAACAACAUACUUGGAUGAAAAUGAAUGGCCAGUUCAGACCCUACUACCAUUGCCUGUGUCGCUUCCCUUCAGCACACGCCAUUCAGGACUAUCGUCAAAGGCAAAGACAUCCCUCCUGCAGCUUUUCCUCUCUCAGCCCAUGUUAUGUCUACAUUUCAUAGGAAGUGAACUGGUUUUAGUUUGCUUCUAGCUGCAACUCAGCCUGUGGGGUUUGUUCCCACCCUGCGUGCAUUUUCCAACACAUCCAGCCUCAGUCCUGGAGGUCUGCAGCACAUUUGAAUGGGCAGUCACAAAUGUUGGUCUUUAGUCUGGGAAAGAGAGAUGUCUGCCUGCAACUUACUCUGCAAAAGGCAUCAAAUAGCCCAGAAUUACUCACCUUUGGAAAACUUCAAAGAACCCUACAAGUUAGGGCAGUCUUUUUUAAGUGGAUGGGUUGUAUGGGAUGUGAGGGCAUGGAGUGAUGAGGAAGAGGAGGAAUCAGGUUUUAUAGAGAGAGGAGUGGUUUAGUCUAGAUGAUAGGACACAACGAAUUGCUCGGUGUGCAGCGGUUGAGCAGCUCACACUUAUUUCACGAAGAUCAGAAAAAUGUGCACAGUGGAAUAAAUACUGGUUGUUAUUUCA
rnacentral:lncRNA from 1 species